UACGGAGGGUGCGAGCGUUGUCCGGAAUCACUGGGCGUAAAGGGCGCGUAGGUGGCCUGGUAAGUAGGGGGGUGAAAUCCUGCGGCUUAACCGCAGGGCUGCCUUCUAAACUGUCAGGCUCGAGCACAGUAGAGGCAGGUGGAAUUCCCGGUGUAGCGGUGGAAUGCGUAGAGAUCGGGAAGAACAUCAGUGGCGAAGGCGGCCUGCUGGGCUGUUGCUGACGCUGAGGCGCGACAGCGUGGGGGAGCAAACAGG
rnacentral:rRNA from 1 species